rnacentral:sRNA from 1 species
AUAAACUCAGUUAUAUGGCAAUGUAUUAAAUUGCUAUCAAUGCAUUUUUACUGUUAAUUUUCCUUCCAAGUAUAGAGUGUUUCAGCAGCACCAAGAGUUAAUUUUACAAUUUGUACCUGACCUAGGAAUCUAACCACAAUACAUAACCACAACAUCUAAUGUUUUGUAUUGGGAACACAGGAUCAGUUCUAAGUAGACUUUUGGUAUACUGUGCAUUAGUUAGUUUGAGUCUCUCUUGUGCCAAAUUAAGAGUGUGAUUUUUGUUUUCUAACAUUAUUCCAUAGUAUGGGAAGAACUGCCCUCUCCAGCAAGUACAUCAUCACUUGUCUCCCUUGUCUCUCAGAGUUGUCGCCUUCGUGAAUAUAUUAACUUCAAAAUUCAGCCACUGAGAUAUCACCUUCCAGAUUAGAUAAAGAAAAUGUGGUACAUAUACACCAUGGGCUACUACACAGCCAUAAAAAAGAACAAGAUCAUGUCUUUUGCAGGAACAUGGAUGGAACUGGAGGCCAUUACCCUUAGCAAACUAACUUAAGAACAGAAAACCAAGUCCAGCAUCUUCUCACUGAUAAAUGGGAGCUAAACGAAAGAACUUAUGAACACAAAGAAGGAAACAACAGACACUGGGGUCUAUUUGAGGGGGGGAGGGUGGGAGGAGGGAGAGGAGCAGAAAAGUUAACUAUUGGGUAUGGGCUUAAUACCUGGGUGAUGAAAUAAUAUGUAUAACAAAACCCCAUGACACAUGUUUACCUGUGUAAUGAGCCUUCACAUGUGCCCCCAAACCUAAAAUAAAAAUUAACAAAAAUUUUAUCUACAUAUAA